GUCUUACCUGCCCACUGAAACUUUUAAGGGCCGCGGUAUUUUGACCGUGCAAAGGUAGCAUAAUCAUUAGCCUCUUAAUUAGAGGCUGGGAUGAAAGGUGGGACGAGGUACAAACUGUCUCCAUGAAAAAAGAAGAAAUUAACUUUUUAGUUAAAAGGCUAAAAUAAUAUUAAAGGACGAGAAGACCCUAUAGAACUUUAUAAAUUAGGCUUAAGCCUUUAGGAAAAUAUGUUACUUAAAGCUAAAUUUUAUUAUGUUGGGGUGACGGGGUAAUAAAUUAACUUACCUUAUGUAAAACAUAAUAAGUGAAUAAAGGAUCCAUAAAUAAUGAAUAAAAAAUUAAGUUACCUUAGGGAUAACAGCGUAAUCCUUUUUGAGAGUUCAUAUCGAUAAGAGGGGUUGCGACCUCGAUGUUGGAUUAAAGGUAAUUUUAGGUGCAGCCGCUUAGAGUUGGGGUCUGUUCGAC
rnacentral:rRNA from 1 species